AGAGAGAGAGAGAGAGAGAGAGAGAGAGAGAGAGAGAGAGAGACCUAUAAAUGCUCCCCCAGCCAGAGCAUGUGGGGCUCUGGCUGCUCACGACUGACCCCCAGUCUGCCUCAUUCAGAGGAUCUGUGGGUCUCUGUCAGAUCUGGGUGUUGGGGACCCAUGGAAGAGAGACCAGAAACAGAGAAGGGGAUUCCAACCAAGGGGCAGCGGGCAACGCUGGGACCCUGGUGAGUAGCCGUUUCCGUCCCUGCAAGGCUUGGCUAACCAGUGCUGACAAGGCCACUUGUAUUGAUGCUCUGACCCUGUAGUUUUCUGCAUCGUCCAGUGUUUGAACCACUUCUCUUUUCUUCCUCUUCUCCCCCGGGGGCUGUCCACUACUCAGCCUUUUCUUUCCUAGCUGUCAAUCCCUGAAUCCUAGUGUAGCAGACGGGGACAUGGAAGACCUGUGUCCCUUGAGCACCCUGGCUUUGUCUUUCUGUAUACGACCACCUGGAAUCUAUUGGCCAUCUGAUUGCGGCUCUGUGAGCGCCUCCUCCACCUGCACGAUGGAGAGGGACUAGCUCCCGGCUCCUCCCUGUGCCACAGCACUCGCCUCUCAAGUGAUGGGAUUACAGACAUGUGUCCCUUCAUGUUCUUCAAGACACAUGAUGAAGCAGGUUGAAUACAGAGACACAUAUGAGAAGGCAGAUGGCUUCUAAGUAAGACAGACUUGCAGGUGGGUAAAACAAUGUCACCCUUCUCGUAGUUGUGUUUUGUUUGGGAAUCUAGCUACAUUUAAUCAAAUAUGUUAUUUGCUUCUUAAAUAUAUUAUGCUUGAUAAAAUGCACUCAAGUUUGUUUAGUGGGGUGUCUCAGCGGUUAAGUGAGCUCAGUACUCUUGCACAGGUAAGCCUUAAACUCUUGAUUCACUUGCCAAAGGCUUCAGCACUACAACCAUGCCUGGCAGAAACCCAAAGGAGCAAGCAUUAAAAUAAAGUAAAUUAUAUUUUUUCAGAUAAAAGAAUAACAGCGACUCAUUACAUAUGAACAUAUUUUAUUAAACAAUUAAACAGAUUUUUAAAUUUU